AAAGACUUGACGGUACUUCACACCAACCUAGAGGAGCCUGUCCAAUAACCGAUACUCCACGAUUAACCCUACCCACCUCUAGCCAUAAACAGUCUAUAUACCGCCGUCGCCAGCUCACCUUGUGAAAGAAAGAAAGUGAGCAAAACAGACCACCCUUAACACGACAGGUCGAGGUGUAACUAAUGAGUGGGUAAAAGAUGGGCUACACUUUCUAACCCAGAAAACACGAAUAAACUAUGAAAUCAGAAACUGAAGGCGGAUUUAGCAGUACGAUAAGAACAUAAUACUUA
rnacentral:rRNA from 1 species